GGCCGCCACCGCCCCGCCGAGCAGAGUGCGGCGCUGCCCCGCCGGCAGCCACAAAGGGUCGGGGUGCAGAGAGGGGCAGCGGCAGUGCCAUUUUGUGGGGCGUCUGCCUUGACAAAAUGGCUUUCCCCCCUGUCGUUUUGAGAGCUUUUCUUGCUUUUAGAGCCAGGUUUUGCAUCCCUUUGAACUACACAGGGUCUUCACCGCUGAAAUCUAACUUAAGUUGUGUGAGCAAAUCCCACUGCUGAGAGCUGCUAAUUAAGCAUAACUGACGUGGUGAAGGAAAAGGACACGAGGAGCCUUCAAGCCCAGGAGGAUUAUGGUAAAUAAAAAUCACUCCAGGAAGUCUGCUUAGAAUGGAAGGUAUGGUUCUUAACCUGGGAGGUUUGCUAAUGAAAAGUGGUGGUCCUAUAUUGACAUAGGUGUUUAGUGAUGUGGAAAUGUGAGACUGUAAAGGAUGCAUAUACUUCUGCUGUUCUUGGAUAAUGUUUUGGACAGUCUCUUCUGGAAUGUAGCUUCUAAAAAUCACUCUUUUUUCCUCUGGUAAAUAUAACAGCCUGAGACUUUUCUCAUAUGGAAAGACCUGAAGGAGAAAACAAGAAGGUAAAGAGGGGGACAUAACUUUGAUAGGAUAUUUUUUCAGAAGAUGGAGCAUCUGUGCACGGCAAAGAAAUAUUUAAGACAAAGAAAUUCUAAUCCUGAUCCUUUAAAGAUUAAUUAAAGCAUCUUGCUUUACUCAUUGCCAUAAUUCCACCAUUUGAUUAACCUUAGCUGUCACCUGAAUAGAGCUAGGGCUGUGCUUUGUCCCACCAGAGCCCUCUCCCCACACUCUGUGAGCAGCACUUCAGUACGUCCGUAUCCUCAGCCUGGCCACUGGGAAAGUGUGUAUGAAUAAGCUGCACGACAGGGUCAUAAAUAACAUGGAGAGCAGAACAAAUCUUGGCAGCAGAUCACAGCUGCUGGGGAGACAAGAGCUAUGGUAGACACAUGAGAAGAAAAGGAAAAGAAGAGUAAUAUUUAAGAGGAAAGUAGAAAUUUUACUGUUAGUCUCUGUUCCAUUGAAAUCAGACCAUUUCUGACCUUGGUUUCUUUGUUAGCAGGCUUGGUCUCCUGAUUUCUUAAAUGCUUUUCUUUUUGUCUAACCUCUCAGGGAAGGACUGAUGCUUUAAAACCAUUAGAAAAUCUGCUUUCCUUAUGGAAAGUCAAAUUCGAAACUAUAAAAGGCAAUCAGUUUUGAAGGAGAUCACAUCACUCCCAAAAAGACAUGUAUACGGUACAUGCAUAUCUCUAAAUCCACAAAGUGCAUUUCUAUCCUUAAGUCUGUGUGACCUUUCAUGGAAUGCAGGCCUAAGUAUUUUUUCAAUCUCUUGUGUCCAUCACAAAUUCCAAGCACCAUUAUUGCACAAAAUUCUUUUUUCCUCUUUUAAGUUUCAUAACCAAAAUCUCUUCAAACUGUGUUUUAAAACUGUAGCAAGACUUUAAGACUUGUCUGGAAAACCUUCAAACAAUUACAAAUAUGCACACAAAAAAUAUGUGCUUAGAUGAGGUAAUCCACAAGAGGGUUUUUAAGUGGCCUUUUGAAAACCAACUAUUGUAUAUAUAAAUGUCAAAAUUAAUUAAAAAUCAACAAAAAACAAGAAGUGAAAGCCACAAUGCUGUAUUUGUUAUGAAUAUACUGAUUAAGCUCUCUCUCAUUAGUAAGUGUUUAUCACUGUCCUUGAAGGCAGUGAAGCCUUUAGAAAGAAAGGAACAGAUUAUGGACCCACUGGAGGAUGCAGCCCAUCCGAUGAUUUCAUAUUGAUACCAACACCAGGAGAACCAUUUUCAAGGACAUUGUGGGUCUUCUGUGAUACCUGAUUAAUGAUAAAAGUGGUCUUAAAGCCUUUUGGCAGCUAUGGAAAUCACUCCCAUGAUUUAAACGUGUUGUCCAAAGUCCCCUCCCUGGAGAGCUACAGUUGCCUGCGUGGGUUUAUACCAAGAAUCAGUGAGACAUCAUGAGUUAAUAUUUGUGUGUUAAUGCUAAGAGCUGGUUUUUAUGAGUGUUACUAAAUGGCUUUUUAGAUCCGGUCCUUGAGUACCAAAAAUGAGCCUUCCAACACUGCUGCAUGUAUCCAAGCUGGUGGAGGGAAUGGCCUGAACUUAACCAUCCACACUAUGAUCUUAAGUGAUUAAUUUGCAGUUUUCCGUGAGUGUCACACAGCAGGUUUCAAUACUACUGAGCUUUUCCAGGAAUCUGCUCAUUUAUUAUUGCUGUGUGCAUUACUGCAUUUUUUAGGGAUGGAAGUAUAUGCCAGCACAUUCAUGACACACUUUGGUGCCUCGCUAAUGUUGCAUGCACUUGAUAAAGUUCCCAAAUCAUAGCAUUUGAAACCAGAAAGUAUACAGAGAUAAAAUGAAUGUCCCAUACUUACUGAGGGUGAACUCAAUUCCCUCAUCCAAAUCAUCAGUAAAGAUAUUGAACAGGACAAGGGCGAAUACCGACCUCUGGGGAGCACCAUUCACAACUGGUUGCCAGCAGGAUGUAACUCCA